rnacentral:rRNA from 1 species
UACGAAGGGGGCUAGCGUUGCUCGGAAUCACUGGGCGUAAAGGGUGCGUAGGCGGGUCUUUAAGUCAGAGGGGAAAUCCUGGAGCUCAACUCCAGAACUGCCUUUGAUACUGAAGAUCUUGAGUUCGGGAGAGGUGAGUGGAACUGCGAGUGUAGAGGUGAAAUUCGUAGAUAUUCGCAAGAACACCAGUGGCGAAGGCGGCUCACUGGCCCGAUACUGACGCUGAGGCACGAAAGCGUGGGGAGCAAACAGG